rnacentral:misc_RNA from 1 species
AAGUCGUAACAAGGUAACCGUAGGUGAACCUGCGGUUGGAUCAUUAAAAAGGAAAGGACCUGGGAGCGUGUUGCGCUCCCAGGUCGUACUGUUAGCAAUAACGUACAUUCUGUGAAUCGUUCUGUUUCUGGCGGGGGAUAGAGUACUUUUUUCAGUCUCUAUCCGUCAGCUUGGAUUUAUUUCAGGCCGUGGACAUCUCGCCAAACACUUUGCUUAACCUAUGUCUGCUUUGAAAUUUGUCUGACAUUUUUUGUAUUGAAAAUACAAACAACUUUUGGCAACGGAUCUCUUGGCUCUC